rnacentral:lncRNA from 1 species
CUCUCUAUAGUUUCCUCUCCUCUAGUUUCCUCUCUUUAGUUUCCUCUCCUCUAGUUUCCUCUCCUUUAGUUUCCUCUCCUCUAGUUUCCUCUCUUUAGUUUCCACUCCUUUAGUUUCCUCUCCUUUAGAUUCCUCUCCUUUAGUUCCUCUCCUUUAGUUUCCUCUCUUUAGUUUCCUCCUUUAGUUUCCUCUCUUUAGUUUCCUCUCUUUAGUUUCCUCUCUUUAGUUUCCUCUCCUUUAGUUUCCUCUCCUUUAGUUUCCUCUCUUUAGUUUCCUCCUUUAGUUUCCUCCCUUUAGUUUCCUCUCUUUAGUUUCCUCUCCUCUAGUUUCCUCUCUUUAGUUUCCUCUCCUUUAGUUUCCUCUCCUUUAGUUUCCUCUCCUUUAUUCCCUCUCCUUUAGUUUCCUCUCCUCUAGUUACCUCUCUUUAGUUUCCUCUCCUUUAGUUUCCUCUCCUCUAGUUUCCUCUCCUUUAGUUUCCUCUCUUUAGUUUCCUCUCUUUAGUUUCCUCUCCUUUAGUUUCCUCUCCUUUAGUUUCCUCUCUUUAGUUUCCUCUCCUUUAGUUUCCUCUCUUUAGUUUCCUCUCCUUUAGUUUCCUCUCCUUCAUCUGCACUUUCUUUUCAUUUCCUUUCCUUCAUCAUCAUUAUAUAUGAACCUGAUUUCUCCACUAAUUUCCUGUCAUUUCCUUUCUGUUCCUUUCCUACCCUCCUUUCCUUGACUUCAUCUGGAAAUAAGGGACAGGUACCAUCAGAGUCCUGAUAGACAUCUGUCAUUCUGUUUCAUCUAUAUAGUAGUG